AGGCAGGUGCUCCUUAUUAGUAACUUCUGUCUGAACCACUAGCUUUGCAGCAGUUUGUAUGGAAUACAGAUUGCAUUCCUUAUGUUUCAGGAUACUGGUUGUCCUUCGUGUUGGAACAAAUUGUCACCUGAAUGAAUACAUUACAGCUGCAUCAGAAGUUGUCAAAGCAUUUAAAAAUGGAAGUGCUCAAGUGAACAUCAGUCGUUCUAACAACCCUUGGAAAAGUUGAAAAGUAAGAUGUUAGUGUUGCAAUUACCACAAUGGUUGUGACAAUUUGGAAGCAAAAUUCAAGAUCUUAAUGCACAGCAGGAGUAUGGUCCCAAGUUCUGGAAGGAGAGGCCUAGUUCAGGCUGUACACUUACAUGAGGAAUGAAUUCCUGCAGAUUCACAGAUAUUAGUAUCUCUGGACAUGACCACCAGCAAAAUAAAACAGUAUUCAUCUCAAACAUGAAUCAUUUUGAAGGAGUCCAGAACUUAAAUGAAGAGUCUUUCCACCUCAUUGUCAUGGAGAGAGUUGUUUUCCUUCACCAUCGUGUCAGAGACACUAAAGAGGAUCUUCUCUCUCAAGCUGUGAAUUCAGUAUGAUACAAGAAAAAGAAGUGCUGAAUGAGUCUCUGAAAAAUUCUAAUCAACUUGUGGUAUAAGCAAUUCAUAUAUUCUCCAUUGUGAUUAUGGACUAUGCAAGUAAGAAAGAGCAGCAGAUAACUUUGGUAAAGUUUUUGACACUUUUAUGUUAGUCAUUAUUUUAUAUUUACUCAAAAGAGCAUGGUCAUGAUUCUAUUUCUAGAGAAGAGUUGUAAAAUAGUGAAAAAUAUACUGACAACAUUAGCUUAAAAGGCUGUGAAAAUAUGUGUGAAGAGUUGGUUCUUCAAAGGUCUCUUGCUUGUGACUGUGGGUAGUGUUUUUAUUAAUGGGCUAGAUAAAGGACCAGAACCUGCUUUUGACCUUUGCUUAUCACAACAUAAUAUGUAGCAAUAACUAUGCUGAAGUCCAGGGUUAGGGAGUAAAGCAAUCUUGACAGGAAGCAAUUUGUGAAAGCAAAACAGAAGAAAUUAAUCAGGAAUAUAUGCAGUGUAUUGCACUCAGGCAAGAAUAGUCAACUAUUUAAACAGAGGUUAGUGAAUUUGUCCAGGAUCUGUUCAGAAAAUUAUCAGGAAACAGUAAACUGAGCAUUGGCCAACAGUUGAAUAAAGGAAAAUAUUACACUAGGUGGUGUGAUGAG
rnacentral:lncRNA from 1 species